UACGUAGGGUGCAAGCGUUGUCCGGAAUUAUUGGGCGUAAAGAGCUCGUAGGCGGUUUGUCGCGUCUGCUGUGAAAACUCGGGGCUUAACCCCGGGCCUGCAGUGGGUACGGGCAGACUAGAGUGCGGUAGGGGAGACUGGAAUUCCUGGUGUAGCGGUGAAAUGCGCAGAUAUCAGGAGGAACACCAGCGGCGAAGGCGGCAUCCUGGACUGGUCCUGACACUCAGGAGCGAAAGCGUGGGGAGCGAUCCGG
rnacentral:rRNA from 1 species